GAAAUGCGAUACUUGGUGUGAAUUGCAGAAUCCCGUGAACCAUCGAGUCUUUGAACGCAAGUUGCGCCCGAAGCCAUUAGGUUGAGGGCACGUCUGCCUGGGCGUCUCACGUUGCGUCACUUGCACCCCCUCUCCCCCGAAGGAGGGACGAAGGGCUACGGGCAGAUGUUGGCCCCCCGUGCGCGCGCCCACCUUAUCGGCCCAAAAACGAGUCCCCUGCGACAGACGACGCGUCGCGACGAGUGGUGGUUGACAAACCGUUGCAUCGCCUCGCGCGCGUCCCGGCCAUCUUAGGAGGCCUGUCGUGACCCUAUCGCGCCGUCGCCGCCAAGGCCAGGCACUCCGAUUGCGACCCCAGGUCAGGCAGGAUUACCCGCUGAGUUUAA
rnacentral:misc_RNA from 1 species